rnacentral:tRNA from 1 species
AUUUAAAUAGCUUAAUAAGAGCGUAGUGUUGAAGCCACUAAGGUAAUUUUUUAUUUUUAAAUA